rnacentral:rRNA from 1 species
CCUACGGGUGGCUGCAGUGAGGAAUAUUGGUCAAUGGGCGCAAGCCUGAACCAGCCAUCCCGCGUGCAGGAUGACGGCCCUAUGGGUUGUAAACUGCUUUUAUACACCAAGAAAAAUCUCCACGUGUGGGGACCCGACGGUAGUGUAUGAAUAAGCAUCGGCUAACUCCGUGCCAGCAGCCGCGGUAAUACGGAGGAUGCGGGCGUUAUCCGGAUUCAUUGGGGCGAAGGGGUGCGUAGGCGGCUUUGGUGAAAUCCUGUCGCUUAACGAUAGAAUUGCCAUUGAUACUGAUAAGCUUGAGUACAGUUGAGGUAAGCGGAAUGUGUAGUGUAGCGGUGAAAUGCUUAGAUAUUACACAGAACACCGAUUGCGAAGGCAGCUUACUAAACUGUUACUGACGCUGAUGCACGAAAGCGUGGGGAGCGAACAGGAUUAGAUACCCUGGUAGUC